rnacentral:rRNA from 1 species
AACGAACGCUGGCGGCAUGCCUAACACAUGCAAGUCGAACGAGACCUUCGGGUCUAGUGGCGCACGGGUGCGUAACGCGUGGGAACCUGCCCUUAGGUUCGGAAUAACUCCCCGAAAGGGGUGCUAAUACCGGAUAAUGUCUUCGGACCAAAGAUUUAUCGCCUUUGGAUGGGCCCGCGUUGGAUUAGCUAGUUGGUAGGGUAAAAGCCUACCAAGGCGACGAUCCAUAGCUGGUCUGAGAGGAUGAUCAGCCACACUGGGACUGAGACACGGCCCAGACUCCUACGGGAAGCAGCAGUGGGGAAUAUUGGACAAUGGGCGAAAGCCUGAUCCAGCAAUGCCGCGUGAGUGAUGAAGGCCUUAGGGUUGUAAAGCUCUUUUACCCGAGAUGAUAAUGACAGUACCGGGAGAAUGAGCUCCGGCUAACUCCGUG